CAUAUUUGAAAUGAUUGUGCUUUGGCUCGAGCUGUCCUGUUCAUGGGACCAUGCAGGUGCCAAACCUGGUAUAUGAAAUUGGGUACAGGGCGUUGUUUGAAAGGAAAACUGGUUGUCUUGCUGUCCAUGUUUUUCUAUUCGAAGUACAGGUUUAUCCAGCUACAUCAUUAGAACUUUCAGUAAUCUGAAAACUAAAUUUGUAAUGUGUGUCUAUUGGCUGCAUGCACAUUCUUGAAUUAUAAAUACAGGUCUCAAAAAUAAUUCUGCGUGCUGUUGGCCCAGAGCUCUUCAGGAAUAAAUAAUAAUGCUGGAUACUGCUAAUGUAAUUACUCAAGUUUCAAUAGUAGAAUUUGUCCAGAUUUUAUACUUCCUCGAUUGCUGAAAAUUGUUUUCUAAACUUGCAGAUGCAGUCACUAAUAAGCUUCAAAGCAAUAAUAUUUUCACUGUUGCAAAGAGGAAUGUUGAAGGACAAGAUAUGUUAUAUCAAUCCCUUAAAUUGACAAAUGGAAUCUGGGUUUUAGCAGAGCUUAGAAUUCAACCAGGCAAUCCCAAUUAUACGGAUUUGGAGUUAUCGCUGAAAUGCAGAGCCCCAGAGGUAUCCCAACAUGUUUUCCAGGCAUAUGAAAUAAUUUUGAAGAAUUGAGCAAUUUGAGGUCAUCUCGGGCAGAAAGUCGCUGCAGUUGUGUUUAUUCGGGAGCCUAGAUGCACUGAUAAUGGACAGAAAUUAUAUAUGUGACACCCUGGUGUCACUGAAGAAGUUGCAUUAUUGUGAAGGGUAUUUAUUUUAUACUCAAAAUCUUGAGUAUAUUGACCCAUUAACACUAAAGUCUAUUGUAUAAUCCUACUAUAUCUAAAUUCAUUAUUCCAUUGAUGAUGAGCUCUAAAUACAAGAUUCAGAUAUUUACUAUGUUGAUUUCUCUCAAAAUCUAUGAAUGUAAUGUAAUAUCAUGACAUGGUGAAUUGCCUAGUGUGUGAAGAGGCUGUGCUCAAUACACUGCCAUUCCAGCUGUAGGGUAAUUGUCCUUGUUCAAAUUUGUAUCCUCUUCAUACUGCGUGAUGUGACUUUAAACUUUUGUGCGAUGAUGUUUUGUGUAUUUGUACACUAGUAAUAUGGUUCAUGCUGAUAGCGUGCUGUUUGGGUUCCACCAUUGCAGCUAAUGUCAAGGUGUUGAUCAGUAGUCAUAUCAGAAAUAAACUGGACUUGUGGGGUAAAGGUACCCAGGAGGCUGACUUGAAUGUA